rnacentral:rRNA from 1 species
UACGUAGGUGACCAGCGUUGUCCGGAUUUACUGGGCGUAAAGAGCGCGCAGGCGGUCGUUCAAGUCGAGUGUGAAAGCCCCCGGCUCAACUGGGGAGGGUCACUCGAUACUGAUCGACUUGAAGGCAGGAGAGGGAAGCGGAAUUCCCGGUGUAGUGGUGAAAUGCGUAGAUAUCGGGAGGAACACCAGUGGCGAAGGCGACUACCUGGCCUGUUCUUGACGCUGAGGCGCGAAAGCGUGGGGAGCAAACAGG